rnacentral:rRNA from 1 species
CCCAGACUCCUACGGGAGGCAGCAGUGAGGAAUAUUGGUCAAUGGUCGGGAGACUGAACCAGCCAAGCCGCGUGAGGGAUGAAGGUACAGAGUAUCGUAAACCUCUUUUGUCAGGGAACAAAGGCGGGGACGCGUCCCCGGAUGAGUGUACCUGAAGAAAAAGCAUCGGCUAACUCCGUGCCAGCAGCCGCGGUAAUACGGAGGAUGCGAGCGUUAUCCGGAUUUAUUGGGUUUAAAGGGUGCGCAGGCGGUCUGUUAAGUCAGCGGUAAAAUUUCGGGGCUCAACCCCGUCGUGCCGUUGAAACUGGCGUUCUUGAGUGAGCGAGAAGUAUGCGGAAUGCGUGGUGUAGCGGUGAAAUGCAUAGAUAUCACGCAGAACUCCGAUUGCGAAGGCAGCAUACCGGCGCUCAACUGACGCUCAUGCACGAAAGCGUGGGUAUCGAACAGGAUUAGAUA